rnacentral:rRNA from 1 species
UAACACAUGCAAGUCGAGCGGAAACGAGUUAUCUGAACCUUCGGGGAACGAUAACGGCGUCGAGCGGCGGACGGGUGAGUAAUGCCUAGGAAAUUGCCCUGAUGUGGGGGAUAACCAUUGGAAACGAUGGCUAAUACCGCAUAAUGCCUACGGGCCAAAGAGGGGGACCUUCGGGCCUCUCGCGUCAGGAUAUGCCUAGGUGGGAUUAGCUAGUUGGUGAGGUAAUGGCUCACCAAGGCGACGAUCCCUAGCUGGUCUGAGAGGAUGAUCAGCCACACUGGAACUGAGACACGGUCCAGACUCCUACGGGAGGCAGCAGUGGGGAAUAUUGCACAAUGGGCGCAAGCCUGAUGCAGCCAUGCCGCGUGUGUGAAGAAGGCCUUCGGGUUGUAAAGCACUUUCAGUCGUGAGGAAGGUAGUGUAGUUAAUAGCUGCAUUAUUUGACGUUAGCGACAGAAGAAGCACCGGCUAACUCCGUGCCAGCAGCCGCGGUAAUACGGAGGGUGCGAGCGUUAAUCGGAAUUACUGGGCGUAAAGCGCAUGCAGGUGGUUUGUUAAGUCAGAUGUGAAAGCCCGGGGCUCAACCUCGGAAUAGCAUUUGAAACUGGCAGACUAGAGUACUGUAGAGGGGGGUAGAAUUUCAGGUGUAGCGGUGAAAUGCGUAGAGAUCUGAAGGAAUACCGGUGGCGAAGGCGGCCCCCUGGACAGAUACUGACACUCAGAUGCGAAAGCGUGGGGAGCAAACAGGAUUAGAUACCCUGGUAGUCCACGCCGUAAACGAUGUCUACUUGGAGGUUGUGGCCUUGAGCCGUGGCUUUCGGAGCUAACGCGUUAAGUAGACCGCCUGGGGAGUACGGUCGCAAGAUUAAAACUCAAAUGAAUUGACGGGGGCCCGCACAAGCGGUGGAGCAUGUGGUUUAAUUCGAUGCAACGCGAAGAACCUUACCUACUCUUGACAUCCAGAGAACUUUCCAGAGAUGGAUUGGUGCCUUCGGGAACUCUGAGACAGGUGCUGCAUGGCUGUCGUCAGCUCGUGUUGUGAAAUGUUGGGUUAAGUCCCGCAACGAGCGCAACCCUUAUCCUUGUUUGCCAGCGAGUAAUGUCGGGAACUCCAGGGAGACUGCCGGUGAUAAACCGGAGGAAGGUGGGGACGACGUCAAGUCAUCAUGGCCCUUACGAGUAGGGCUACACACGUGCUACAAUGGCGCAUACAGAGGGCAGCAAGCUAGCGAUAGUGAGCGAAUCCCAAAAAGUGCGUCGUAGUCCGGAUUGGAGUCUGCAACUCGACUCCAUGAAGUCGGAAUCGCUAGUAAUCGUGGAUCAGAAUGCCACGGUGAAUACGUUCCCGGGCCUUGUACACACCGCCCGUCACACCAUGGGAGUGGGCUGCAAAAGAAGUAGGUAGUUUA